rnacentral:lncRNA from 1 species
UGGCCUAAGGGUAAAUGAGUCAGUACUUGGCGUUUGCAAUGCUGGCUUUGUAGCCUUAUGCGGGUUGUCAUUGGCCUUACAUUUUACAGGGUUUAUCAUUUCCAAGUUUAUUAUAUUCCAAGUGGGAAUAAGAUUGUAACUUUGUAGUCCCCAAGUAAGGUGGGAUAGAAUCAUCCAAGGUAGACAGUUUUUGGAUGCUCACACUGCCAUGUGUGCUGGAAAGAUAGGCCAUUUAAGCCCAACCGAUAAAAGGAAUUGUGUGCCAUUCACUUGAUUUCCAACCAGGAGAACCUGGAAAUGCAGAGAAGUCGUUGGUUUUUUGGUAGAGCUGUGAGCCUGCCAAAUCCUAGGGUGAUCUGUCCUCCUUUUCCGGAUUUUAAUUACAUUUUGCUUAUUUUCAUGAAUGUACCUGCGAAGGCCCCCAAGUGGAAGUCAGAUGACAACUUGACAACUUGAAUUUUUACGGGGUGGGGUGGUGGUGGUGGGGUGAGGUUUCUGGGGCUAAAACUCAACUUUUUAGGUUUGGCAGCAAGUGUCUUUACCUGGUGAGCCAUCUUGAAGAUAUGAAUGCUUUUGAAUUGCAAGACCAAGCAGGUUCCAAAGAGGGUGUAUUAUGUAAUGAUAUAUAUCUGAAAGCUCUAGAGAGGAAAGGCCAUCAUGUUUAAAAAAAAAAAAAAUGUGUACCUGAGUGGAACUGGGAACCAUAAAAACUUGCUAUGAAAAAUCCCCGUGAUGGAAGUGAGUCAUAUUGUAAGCCAUUUUGAAGAUAGUGUUUUAGAAGGUGUCCGCAAACAUGCUGGUUGGAUAAAUACCCCAAAGGCCUGUGUGUUAGGGACCUGGUCACCAACCUGUGAUGUCACUGGGAGAUGGAAGGAUAUUUUAAGAGUUGAGGCCAAAUGUGGGAAUUUAGGUCAAUAGAGAUGUGUCCAUGGAAGGGAUAUUGGGGCCUCUCAUCUUUCCUUCCAGCUAACAACAGGCAAACAUUUUUGUUCCACAUACACAGCUCUCCCUGGUAUACUGCCUUGCCAUAGACCCCAAAACUACAAACUACAACCAUUUGUCUCAAGCCAUGAGCUCAUAAUAAAAAUUCCCACCCCUGAGGUGGGUAUACAUUAUUUAUGAUUUAUUAAAGCUUGCCUGAGGAUUCAGAAAAACAAAGUCAGCCUCAAGCUAUAGAGAUCAGGCAGUGGUGCUACACACUUAUAAUCCCAGUAGCCAGAAGCUAGGAGGUGGUGGUACACACCUUAAUCCUGGACUCAGAAUUAAGAAAUAGAUGGAUCUCUGUGAGUCCAAGGCCACCCAGAUCUACACAAGAUUGAUCCAGUCCUAAAGAGAAAUAGCUCAAACAAAGAUGAUCUCAGAACCUGGGAUCACACGCCUUUGAUCCCAGCACUCACUAUAGGGGUAUAAAAGCCUGACACAUGGGGGUGGGCCUAGGCCUUAUCCCAAAGGAUAUGACAGACUCUGAAGACCCUCUUCCCCAUGGAAGGCCUCACUCUCCCUGGGGAGCAGAAAUGGUAUGGGAUAGGUAGGGUGUUAGUGGGGAGUAGGGGAGGAGGGGAAGGAGAAGGAACUGGGAUUGACAUGUAAAACAAUCUUGUUUCUAAUUUAAAUUUAAAUGGAGGGGGAAAAAGAUAGGAGCAGGGUUUUCAGCAGUCUAUAUCAGGUAUUCAUUUUCCAGCCAGAUUGAGGAUAGGAAGACAUUCAGUUUGGGGAUUCUACAGCCACGCUGAAGAGAGGCAGCAGAAUCAGCCCUUUCAGCUUGAGGUAGUGGUAAGAGCUAGUGGCUGGCUACUUUGCUUUUCUGAUUUUCAGCAUGAAGCUUGAACCCCAGUAUCAGUCUCUGGGUCUUUUAUUUUUCCUGUUGCAUCCCCCCCAAAAGCUGCCUUUCACACUGGGCGGUGAUGGUGAGGGCCUUUAAUUCCAGCACUCGGGAGGCUGGCCUCAAACUCAGAGAUCCGUUUGCCUCUGCCUCCGGAGUGCUGGGAUUAAAGGUGUGAGCCACCAUUGCCCGGCUCUAGUCUUAAAGUGAGUUUUUUUGUUGUUGUUGUUGUUUGUUUGUUCUCAUAUUGGGCGUUAAGGUCAUUUGCUGGAAUUAUGGGUUACAAUGAAUUCAUGUCAGCAGUGCUGCUGCUCUGCCUUGACUAAAGAAAUAGUGGAUAAAAAUUAAAAUACUGUCUGAGAAAUGACUUAUAGAAUGUCAUAUUUCACACUGUUUGACAAUGAACCUUAAUGACUUAUUUGAACCCAUCAUGACUCAUGUGCAUUCUUCACAGGCAAUUAAGAAAAAAAAAAAACUUGAAAGUUCAGAAUAACAAAUGCCUGUGAUGGGACCAUUAAGAUGCUUUAAUCAAAUACUCAGAACACUGAUGUGAAUAAGCUCCAAGUCUGUGCCCAGCCUGGACCUAAAGCCGGCACAGCCGACCCAAGCCAGGGAGCUAUCAUUACCAAUGAGAAGCGUUUGGAGUCUUACAUGGGGUUAUUCAAUAUGAAAGCCCCUCUCAAAGGCUCAGGCAGUGAAGGCUUGCUUCCCACCUGGUGGCAUGACUGAGAGAUGACUGAAUCAUGAGAACAUGAGUUUAUAGCUGAAUGGAUGUUG